rnacentral:misc_RNA from 1 species
AAGUGGAGCAUCAAUGCUUUCAAUUUCAGCUACACUAUCAGAUAAGUUAUCCAAAGGUACUUGUGAUGAGACUUGAUGAUUGCCAUUCAAUGGAGGAUUAGGUAUUUCAAUUCCAUCUCCAAAGAUCCAUCAUUUGGCGGACUAGAUAUACCUUGAACGCGUUCAACACUUGCUCGACUUAGUAGCCCUCUAAUAUCUAGAUUAGAGGAACCAGAUGUAAAACACUCAAUAAAAUGACUCUAGAAAGGAUUGGGUUGCUUUUUCUUUGCAGUACAACUUGCCUUUUCCUUUAGCAAUAGACCACCAAAAGCCAUUAUUCAACCUUCUGGACGAGCUUUGUUUCGAACACUUUGUUUUAAUUCACAUAAUGACCUUUCAAUAGGAUACAUCCAUUUAAAUUGAACUGGUCCGAGUAAAGCUUCAUUGGGUAAAUGAUCAGUUAAAUAAACCAGGACAUCGAAAAAAGCAGGCGGAUAGGUCAUUUCCAGUUUGCAUAGUAUGAUUAUGAUAUUAUCUUUCAAUUUCUCCCCCACCUUUCUAUUUAAUUUUUUACAACAUAGCUGCUGAAAAAAAUCACCCAACUUGGACAAUAAGUUGGAUACCUAUUUGUUUGAGCGCCCACAAAUGCCAACAGGAAAUAUCCGUUGCAAAAGAAAAUGACAAUCAUGGCUUUUUGAUCCCAAUAUCUUUUAAUCACUUGCAUUGACACAGCGAGAGAUGUUAGAGGCAUAUCCAUUUGGAAAUUUAAUAGACUUUAAAAAAUCACAAAAUCUUUUUCAUUCUUUCUUUUUCAUCACAUAACAUCCAGUCGGUAUCAUAUAUUUUCCAUCACUUCUCUUUACCAUAUGUAACUCCUUUCAUAUUCCUAGAUCUUCCAAAUCUUUUCUUUCCUUCACAAUAUCUUUGUCUUUCCUUCAAUGGUCAUAAGGGUCCGCAAUAUACUCUCACAUAUAUUCUUUUCAAUAUGCAACGCAUGAUUAUGCCUCAAUUUUAACUGACUCUAAUAAGGCAACUCAAAAAAUAUGCUUCGUUUUGUCCAAUUUAAUUCACUUGAAGAAUGUUUUCUCUUUCUGUUUGUUGGAUGCUUCCUUGGUAUACAUAUGGGUAAUUGAUCCAAAUGCAACAAAACAUCUUCACCUAUUAGUUAGGUGCCUCCCCAUCUUCUUUCUUACCAUUGAACUUCCUACUUCUCCUCCAUCUGUGUUCUUUUGGCAGGUAUCAAUGAUGACCCAUAUAGCAUAUUUUAUUUCACAACGAUGACCUAAAUUCAACAGUGGGAACCCAAUUCCAAUAUAUCCAGCCCUCAAUCUUCAUUUGCGCUAAAAGCUCCAGAAUUUGUUGCAUCUAUGAGAAGCUAUUUGUGAGAGGGAUAGAGAUAAAAGAGAAUUAUUUUAGGGCAAAGUUACCGACCCACAAAAAAUACUGCAAAUAUUAAAAUUUCCUGGUAAUUUUAAUUGAGGGUUAAUAUUAGUAUUUUGUAUCUUAUUAGUCAGAAAAUAUUUUUUUUUUCCUUUUUAAUAAUAAUAAACAUAUCUUAAUAUCAAUUUUUUCCUUAAAAAUUAAUCUAAUAUGCCAAAACCAAUUGUAUUAUUAUUCAUAUACAACAUUACUCUUAAAUAUAAUUACUUCAUUUUAGCUUUGGAAUUUUAUAAAAAAUUAAUAACUAAAAUUGUUUAUAUGAGCUCAAAUUAAAAACAAAAUCAGCUAAAAAAAUAACAUCAUUUGUACCUUAGGGCAGAAAUUUAAUUGUUUGAAGAUAACAAUCAUCUUCAGGGGAAUAAAUUCAAUGGAUUGAAGCUUCGAUUAAUUGAAGAUUCGGUUGAUUGACACUGGAUGGAUCAUUGGCAUCGCUGGGUUGAGGAAGAGAGGAGUCUAGGUGUUGAUGCUUGGCUGUGUGUGGUAAAGCAAAUGAAAGAAGAAAUUGAAGCAAAUCUUUAACCAAGCUAUCGUUUCCAUCCAAAGCAUCAGAAAUUGUUGAUGCUAAUGAAGAGAAAGACAUUGACCCAUGGGUAAUUUCGAGAGUGUGAAGGUAUUUUGAAGGAAGGACAGAGAAGACGGGAUGGAUAGAGAGGAAAGGAGAUAAAGAAAGGGGAGGGAUCGAGGCCCCACUCGAUGCCGUUUCAUGUUGGACUUGCCUGACGGUGAGCGAAUAUUCAUCCCUAUCAACAUGCUGGGACAGC